AUUGAACGCUGGCGGCAUGCUUUACACAUGCAAGUCGAACGGCAGCGCGGGCUUCGGCCUGGCGGCGAGUGGCGAACGGGUGAGUAAUGCAUCGGAACGUGCCCAGUAGUGGGGGAUAGCCCGGCGAAAGCCGGAUUAAUACCGCAUACGACCUGAGGGUGAAAGCGGGGGACCGAAAGGCCUCGCGCUAUUGGAGCGGUCGAUGUCGGAUUAGCUAGUUGGUGGGGUAAAGGCUUACCAAGGCGAGGAUCCGUAGCUGGUCUGAGAGGACGACCAGCCACACUGGGACUGAGACACGGCCCAGACUCCUACGGGAGGCAGCAGUGGGGAAUUUUGGACAAUGGGGGCAACCCUGAUCCAGCCAUGCCGCGUGCGGGAAGAAGGCCUUCGGGUUGUAAACCGCUUUUGUUCGGGAAGAAAUCCUCUGGGCUAAUACCCCGGGGGGAUGACGGUACCGGAAGAAUAAGCACCGGCUAACUACGUG
rnacentral:rRNA from 1 species